rnacentral:rRNA from 1 species
AUGAGGUCCUCGGCGGAGCGCGCGGGCGUGGGCGGGGGCGGAGGAGGUCUUGGCGUCGGCGCCGGCGAGGGUCACCGGUUGAGGCUGAAGCUUCAAGCCGUCGUAGUGGUCGAACCCGAGGACGGCCGGCUGGGUUCCGUGGUGGGGCGGCGAGGAAAUCGGGGCGGGGGUGACGGCGGGGGCGGAGGUGAGGCCGCCGGCAGCGGGGGCGGGGGGAUUGGCGGCGGCGACGGUCACGGCUUCAUGAUCUGCAGAAAUAUCUGUAUUUUUUACGUGCACAUCCACAUCCAAAGGUUACACCUGCAUCAGGUGUUGCCGAGACCGGAUCAGACAAGAGAAACAGAGGAGGAAAAUCAAUGGGCAAAGAGUGCCGGUGGAGAUACAGUUAAUAACCCACCUCCGGGAAAGAAAUUUGAUCACCACAUCAGAUCAUCAGAUGAAGCACUUCAUCUGUUCCGCCAGGAGGUCAUGCCUGCAUCAGGUGUUGCAGAGACUUGUUCGGACACAGAAAAAGUUAUCAGUACUGAAAACAACUCAGCGAAGUCCACAAGUGAAAUAGAGGAGGAAAAUCAGCAGCCAGCAAGUACCGGUGGAGAUGUAGUUAAUAAUUCGACUCCUUCAAACAAAUUUGAUCGCAGCAUCACAAGGAGUACACUGGUUGAGGAGUUGUUCACAGGGCGGGAAAAAGAGCAAGAUCAUGUUAUCAAUUUAGUUGGUAAAUCAGAAAACAAUCAAGAAACUAAGGUGAUCUCAGUGUGGGGAUUGGGAGGUCUUGGGAAGACCACUCUCGUUCGAAGUGCCUACCGGAACCAACAGCUUGGUGGCUGGAAGCGUGCUUGGGUCACUGCAUUGCGCCCAUUUGAUCCUGAAGGCCCAUAUGUCAGUAUCCUAUCAAUCGGGUCCCUGAUGUUUUCUGGAAAAAGCAAUCAGGAACGGCGUGGCACGCCGGCGGCCAGAUCGCCGGCCAAGGGAAAGGCGGCGGCUCGGCCGCCACGUUCCUUGUGGAGCAGCUCGCUGGUGAACGGGCUAGGUGGAGGAGCUGCUGGCCAUGGCACGCGGCUGCUGGCGGCCCGAGCCCCUGGCCAUGGCACGGCUCGCGGCGGCCCCUGCUCCUUGGUGCGCUCCUGGCCAUGGCACGCGGCUAGCGACGGCCUGAGCCCCUGGCCAUGGCACGGCCCGUGCUCCUGCGCUGCGGCUGCUCCUCCUCGCGGCGUUCGUUCCCGCGGUCGAGCUUGUCUUGGCGCGGGACGGAUGGUGGAGGUGGCCGUCGAUCCUACUGGAGCAACAGCAACUGGGAAAGGAAAGAAGAACAUAGCAACAAUGGGACUUAAAGUGCUGGUCGAAGAAUUAAACCGCCUUCUAAAUAACAAGUGUCUCAUUCUUCUUGGUGAUAUAUCAACCACUGUAGAAUGGGAUUUGGUCAAAACUUGCUUGAAAAAUGCCGGAAGGGUCAUAGUCACUACAAGGGAAAAAAAUGUUGCCGGACAUUGUUCAGGAAAACACACCAACAUGUAUCGUCUUGAAGGUCUGAAAGAUGCUGCUGCACUUGAUCUCUUCACAAAGAAGGUGUUUAAGGACAAGGCAGGGAAUGUUAAUUUGGCCCUUGACAUGGAGGAACAAGCAAAACUUAUCUUAAAGAAGUGUGAUGGACUUCCCCUUGCAAUAUCAACUAUAGGUGGAUUCCUAGCCACUAAGCCAAAAACUGUUGUUGAAUGGAGGAAGAUGCAUGGCCGUAUUAGUGCUGAGUUGGAGAUCAACCCAGAGCUUAGGACUAUAAAGAAAGGUUAUUGCAAGGAGAUGCAGGGCAUGACAGCAGAAGAAGUUGGUGACAAGUACUUUGAUGAGCUUCUAGAGAGGAGUAUGAUUCUUCCAGGGGGAGGUGUAAACCAUCAUAGUGGAAAAAUUGGCUCUUGUCAGCUUCAUGAUAUCAUUCGUGAAAUAUGCAUCUCGAAGGCUAAGGAGGAAAAUCUUGUUUUCACACUUGAUGAAGGAUGUUGUUUGAGCAGUAUACAAGGCUCAAUACGCCAUCUUGUCAUUAGCAGCAACUGGAAAAGAGAUAAAGAUGUGUUUGAUAGUAUGCUGGACUUGUCUCACGUGAGAUCACUCACCGUAUACGGAGAGUGGAGACCGUGUUUCAUCUCUAAGAAGAUGAGGUUCCUUCGGGUGCUCGAUUUGGAGGACACAGAACGACUCACAAAUAGCCAUCUUGAUGAAAUUGGGAAGCUCCAUCACCUCAGAUACCUCUCUAUACGAAAAUGUGCGUAUAUUUGGGGCCUUCCAGAUUCUAUUGGGAAUUUGAGCCAGCUCCAAACGCUGGAUAUCAAAGGCACUCGUAUAUUAGAACUGCCAGCAACUAUCACCAAGCUCCGCAAGCUACAACACCUCCAUACAUCUGGUGGUUUUAUUCUCACAGAAGAGGAGGAUGACAUGUUUGCUCCUGAUUAUCGGCAGAUCCGUCCUAUACAUCGCCAAUCGAGAUGGUCCCAAGGAAAGGCAUGUAGCUGCGAAUGUUUGCUGUCCCAGGGAAUCGUGUGUAUUGGGCGGAUCGCCUUAUUGCUGGUUCUAGUCAAAAAAAAUUGGAGUGCACAGCGUUCAGAACUUGGUUUGAAUAUACAUGAUACAUUCAACCUGCAGCGUUAUUUGAUGGAAAAGGUCAUCCUUGUAACAUUGAAAACACUCAAUGGGAAGUGCCAUGCAUGCCUCAUGGGACACAGAGCAACCAACAGGACAACGGUGGAGGCGCAGAUUUUCCAGGGCAGAGGAAAACCUGGAAAAUGA